rfam:Dipodomys ordii contig_73506, whole genome shotgun sequence.
GGGAAUGUGGCUUAGUGGUAGAGUGCUUGCCUAGCAUGCAUGAAGCCCUGGGUACGAGUCCUCAGUACCA